rnacentral:rRNA from 1 species
AAUCUCAGUUCAGACUGCAGGCUGCAACUCGCCUGCACGAAGUCGGAAUUGCUAGUAAUCGUAGGUCAGCAUACUACGGUGAAUACGUUCCCGGGCCUUGUACACACCGCCCGUCAAACCAUGAGAGUUGGCAACACCCGAAGUCGGUAGUCUAACCGCAAGGAGGACGCCGCCGAAGGUGGGGUUGAUGAUUAGGGUUAAGUCGUAACAAGGUAAC